ACAACGAUAAUAGAUGGCAAAAACACUCAACAUCAAAUUUGAAGUACAUGCAAAUAGUGCCCUACUAGCAAUGAGAAUGUAAAAGUGUGCGUCUUUCAGGCGAGGGGCAUGUAGAAGCAGGGGGAGAUGGUUGGAAAUACGCGGAAUUACGCGGCGGCGAGAGCGUGUUUUGCUUUCUACACAGUUUUCGCACUCACACAAUCACACAUGUGUGAAUGUGUGCGUUCACUUUCAGCCAGCGCGCUCAGUUUGGUUUUCUCGCAGCGGCUUGCUGGUGUCGGUGUCUCGCUCGCACUAGUGCAGCGAGUGUUCCUCGUGCGUUCCCUUUCUUGCUACCACACAAAAUCGUCAGUACAGUUCAAGCCUUCGCAGUGUGAGGCCGCGCGCGUUUUAGCCUAAGUCCCGGGCGCUCGAUUAUUCAACAUGAACAACAUACAGGCAGUAAAGCGGGUGCUUGAAGUGACGAUUUUUUUAAAUUAUUUAUAAUAAAAAAUAUGUGUGGUUUUGUGGCAAGAUUGUGGUUAGCGAUGUGUGGAACUGUGCCUUAAGUUUCAAUAAAGUGUUAAAAUAUCAAACGAGUUUGAUGUAAUUAAAUUUA